rnacentral:rRNA from 1 species
GCAACAGCUCAAAUUUGAAAUCUGGCGUAAGCCCGAGUUGUAAUUUGUAGAGGAUGCUUCUGGGUAGCGGCCGGUCUAAGUUCCUUGGAACAGGACGUCAUAGAGGGUGAGAAUCCCGUAUGUGACUGGCUUGCACCCUCCACGUAGCUCCUUCGACGAGUCGAGUUGUUUGGGAAUGCAGCUCUAAAUGGGAGGUAAAUUUCUUCUAAAGCUAAAUACCGGCCAGAGACCGAUAGCGCACAAGUAGAGUGAUCGAAAGAUGAAAAGCACUUUGGAAAGAGAGUUAAAAAGCACGUGAAAUUGUUGAAAGGGAAGCGCCCGCAACCAGACUUUGCGGCGGUGUUCGGCUGGUCUUCUGACCGGUUUACUCGCCGCCGUGAGGCCAUCAUCGUCUGGGACCGCUGGAUAAGACCUGAGGAAUGUAGCUCCCUUCGGGGUGUGUUAUAGCCUCUGGUGAUGCAGCGCGUCUCGGGCGAGGUCCGCGCUUCGGCAAGGAUGAUGGCGUAAUGGUUGUCGGCGGCCCGUCUUGAAACACGGACCAAGGAGUCUAACAUCUAUGCGAGUGUUCGGGUGUCAAACCCCUACGCGUAAUGAAAGUGAACGGAGGUGGGAACUUUUUGUGCACCAUCGACCGAUCCUGAUGUCCUCGGAUGGAUUUGAGUAAGAGCAUAGCUGUUGGGACCCGAAAGAUGGUGAACUAUGCCUGAAUAGGGUGAAGCCAGAGGAAACUCUGGUGGAGGCUCGCAGCGGUUCUGACGUGCAAAUCGA